GACGAACGCUGGCGGCGUGCUUAACACAUGCAAGUCGAACGGAAAGGCGCUGCUUUUGCGGGGUGCUCGAGUGGCGAACGGGUGAGUAACACGUGAGUAACCUGCCCUUGACUUUGGGAUAAAUUCAGGAAACUGGGGCUAAUACCGGAUAGGAGCUCCUGCUGCGUGGUGGGGGAUGGAAAGUGUCGGCUGUUGGGGCUGGACUAGAGGCUUACGAGCUGGUUGGGGGGGUAGGGGCUUACCAAGGCUGUGACGGAUAGGCCGCCUGGGAGCUUGAACGGCCACCAUGCGACUACGGUACGGCCCAGACUCCUACGUGACGCAGCAGUCGGGAAUAUUGCACAAUGGGGGCACGUCUGAUGCAGCAACGCUCCGUGCGUGAUGCCGUCCUUCGGGUUGUAAACCUCUUUGGCCGGUGCCGAAGCCUGAUUGACGGUACUGGGUAAGGAAGCACCGGCUAACUACGUG
rnacentral:rRNA from 1 species